CAGAGGCAGGCGGAUUUCUGAGUUCGAGGCCAGCCUUU
rnacentral:piRNA from 1 species